rnacentral:lncRNA from 1 species
GGUAAAAAGAGAGAUGGACCUCCUUCAAAUUUAGAUUGAAAAAAUGGAUCUGUGUUUGUCAAGUUUCUUAAAAAAAAAUUGAUGUGACUUUGACUUUUAGUUUUUCGUUGCAUGUUAGUGCUUGUGCUUAUUUUCAUGAAAUUUGUAAUCUUGUAAUCGAAUUGGAUGAAUGGAGAUUGAGUGGUAAUUUUUUAUUGGGUGAAAUGGUGACUAACAUGAAGAAGAAGUUCGAAAAGUAUUGGGGUAAAAUGGAAAAUGUGAAUCAGUUGUUGCUUAUUGCUACUAUCCUUGAUCCAAGAUAUAAAAUGGAUUAUGUUGAAUACUGUUUUAGUGAUCUAUACAUGGAUG